rnacentral:misc_RNA from 1 species
UACGUAGGGGGCAAGCGUUGUCCGGAAUCAUUGGGCGUAAAGAGCGUGUAGGCGGCCCGAUAAGUCCGCUGUGAAAGUCACAGGCUCAACCUGUGAAAGCCGGUGGAUACUGUCGGGCUAGAGUCCGGAGGAGGCGAGUGGAAUUCCUGGUGUAGCGGUGGAAUGCGCAGAUAUCAGGAGGAACACCUAUGGCGAAGGCAGCUCGCUGGGACGGUACUGACGCUGAGACGCGAAAGCGUGGGGAGCAAACAGG